CCAGAACCGGCAGACGUGCAACUACAUCCGCCCUGGCCGCUAUAUCUGCACCUGCUCCCCGGGUUAUUACGGCAACAACUGCCAGUAUGGUGGGCCCCGUGUGCCUGGUGCCUGCCUCUCCCACCCAUGCCAGAACGCGGGCAGCUGUCUGGAGACCGAGCGGGGUUAUGUCUGUGAGUGCCAGGAGGGCUACACUGGACAGGACUGUCGAGACCAGCUCUCUGAGGGAUGUGAGUGUCGUAAUGGGGGCAGUUGUCUGGAGGGGAACGUCACCGUCUGCCAGUGCCUUCCUGGGUUUUUUGGUCUCCUCUGUGAGUUCGGUAGGUGAAAGCUUCUU
rnacentral:lncRNA from 1 species